AUCGCUUCUCAGCCUUUUGGCUAAGAUCAAAUGUAGUAUCUGUUCUUAUCAGUUCAAAAAUCUCCCUACAAACCAGGGCCAGAUGGCUUCCCAGGGGCAUUCCACCAGACAUUUAAAGAAGAGUUUACACCUCUUUUUCUCAAAAUGCUCCAAAAAAUAGAAAUGGAAGAAUAACUUCCAAACUCAU